GACGAAGGGUGCGAACGUUGUUCGGAAUCACUGGGCGUAAAGGGCGCGUAGGCGGGCGGGUAAGUCAGGGGUGAAAGCCCCCAGCUCAACUGGGGAAGUGCCUUUGAUACUGUGCGUCUUGAGGGAGGUAGGGGCGAGCGGAACUUCCGGUGGAGCGGUGAAAUGCGUAGAUAUCGGAAAGAACACCAGUGGCGAAGGCGGCGCGCUGGACCUCUUCUGACGCUGAGGCGCGAAAGCUAGGGGAGCAAACGGG
rnacentral:rRNA from 1 species